AGCUCAGCAGCUGUGGGCUGGCUCCUUCUCUCCUUAUUCCCUUUCUCUAAAUAGGCCAAAUGGUUUUGUUUACUCUGAGUUCUUCUCAGGUUUUCCCCUGUAAUCCUGCAGCUGGGCUCUUGGUAGAGUCAGAAAUUGAAAGGAGAAGAGGUUGGCUUGUUUUAGAAGAAGGAGGCAGAAGACGUGCAUGGGAGACUGAAUGAGGAAGGAGGAGAAGAGCUAUCAUCAGAUAAUGAAUAACAGGUUGUACUUUGAUAAUGCUAAAGAACACUUGAAAACAACUGGAGAAUGAAUUAUUUUUAGAAGAGAAACAUGCCUUGAAGAUUCUGUUCUUAUGCUUUAGACCACACUGGAAUUUCGUCACACCUAUUAGCUGAACGUGGGACCUCACAAUUUCAGAGAAACCCACUAAUAAAGAAAAUAUUUUCUGGUUUAAAAAGAAAUACAUACUGUAUACUAUUACAUUCAUCUCUUCCCUCUGUUUUUAGUGCCUUCUGAAUAUUUCUGGUAAGUGAUGUCAUUAAAACCAUCUGAGAAUAUUAAUGAUGAAAGCUCUUUGAAACAGGAACACUCUUGUCCUGUCCUCAUCAGCCUCCUGGCAAAUGCUGUUGACACAAAAGUCUAAGCUAUUUCCUAUACUCAUGUUUUCUGGAGUAUUCUGUUUUCCGAAAAGCAAAAUCAUUUUCUAACCUCCUAUUUUUGACACAAAAAACAGAGGUCAAUUUGAAGUCACUGUCCAUAGUCAUAUUUUUUACUGUACUGUACUUCAGGAAUUCUAACCAAAAUCUUUAGAGGGAGUAGUUUUGGUUUUAAAGAUAUGGACGUUAAAGGAGAAUAGCAAGUACUUGGAAUUUUCUGAUUAAAAUCAUCCAGCACAAUGUGUGAUAGGCAGCAAUGCACAAACUGGGCUGCGCUUUUGCUUGGCAUUUCCAUGGAUGUAGAUAGGAAGUACCUAAGAAAAAGAGCAUAUACAAACCUUCUGGAGCUUCUAAGAGUCAAAAGGUUGUAAAUUUUGGCUGUGCGUCCAUGUGACUUCUAAAUGGGACAAAGAUCUAUUGCCUUGUAAACAUAUUUAAUGGACGAGCUGCUCACCUUUACUCCUUUGCAGAGUCCUUGAUUUUAAAAUCCCUCACAUUGGUGCUAAUCAGUUCUAGCUCCACAGAGUUUAGCAGAAACACUCUGCACCUCAAAGCUGCCAGUGAACUGACUAGCUGAGAGGCAGAAACAGAUUUUGUUCGUGUCAGCUGUAUUUUCUGUGAGAUGAAGCUCAACCAAGCUACUGUGAGCACAUAGAAAGAAUCUUUAGUGUUGUUUUCAAUAUUGAGGAAGGACUGUAGUGCUGGAAGAAUGAUGGAUACAUACAAAGAAGUCUGGCUUCAAAAUGUAUGUGGGUUCCAAGGGUGGAGGCGAGAGGAUGAAGGGAGUGUGUUGGAGUCUGGCUGCUGUCUGUCAGAUUCAUCCGCCUAAUAUCAGGUACUAAAAUGAAGUGUUGAAAAAAUUAGCCUCUUCAUAGUCAACGUAUCAAAACAUCAUUUAGAACUGCUUAUGUAGCUCUUACAUGAUGGAUGGAAUAAGAGGUUCUUCCUGCCAUAUUUCCUAUUUUUUUCCUCUGUUUAGAAUAGAAAGGUCCCUUUAUGUAGAUAACUAUUCUGUGCAAGAGAAAUAGGACAGGGCCAAACUGCAGGUUGAUGACUCCCCACCCACCCCCAAAAUCGUGUGGCCAUCUAGCUGCUCUUAGGCCUCCUUAAAACUCUUCUCCAUCUGACAGAAAUGACGGUAAUCAGAUGAGAACUUGAUAGUGUACUGAGGAAUGCAAUAAGCACAAUGAGGUAAUUCCUCUUAGUCAGAAAGCCUGACUGAGAAGUGGGCUACUCAUGGUUUCCAGCUCCUCAGCCUUCCCAGAGAUAGUGUGAGGCAAUUAGCCUUGCAGGAUGUGGAACUGACUCUUCUGUCAGCAUGGCUGCCUUCUUUAAACAAGGUCCAAGGUGCAGAGAUGAGGAGCAGGUAAAUCUCGGGGAAUAGCUGCAAGUAAACUGCAUGUUGUGGAGCACAGCCUUGGCUAAACACCCAUGAAGAAGCAGGAACACUGUACCUUUUGAACUGUUUGUCUUCAAAGUCAAGGCCAUUGGCUACAGCUGCCUUCCUGACCUUUUGAUACAAACUCUUCCACCCUCAAAAAUUUCCAGAGUGCUCCCAAAGCUUACUCUUUGUCUCCUUAUUAACUCUUUCUGCCAGAAGCAAAAGUGACAGUGAGAAACUGUCAGCGGGACUGACUGAGAGAUUUGCUGGCUAUGUGGAGAUAUCAGCAACAGCCAUUGUGUGAUAUUGGCUGAAGGAGGCUUGUUUUUCCCUAGAUUCUUAAAGGGAAUUCACAGAUCUAGUUAAAGAUGUGGGAUACUCGCUGUAUGCUGAAGCCUACUGCUUCUUUUGGCAGCCAGGAACCACCCAAGUUCGUAAUUCCUUUACUGUCAUCAUGAAUGCACAAGCUACAGCACUUCUGAGCUUUUCAGAUCAGUAAGUCCAGUCUGCUUUCAUGGCACUAGAGAGUCAACACUGCAAAAAAGCCUCAGUACAAUGCUAGAUUUCUAAACAUUGAAAAUGUUGGUAGGAAGGGACCUUCUGGAGGCUAUCUUACCCAGUCUUCUGCUCAAAACAGGGUUACCUUCAAAGUUAGGCUGGAUUGCUCAGGGUACAGAGAAGUACUGAAAAUCUCCAAGGAUGGAGAUUCCAAAACUUCUCUUGGCAUCUAGUGCUUAACCACCCUCAUGUAAAGAAUUUUUUCUUUAUAUCUAGUUGGAAUUUUUGUUGUUGCAACUUGUAACUCUUGCCUCUUAUUUUUACUUCUGAGGACUUUAAAGUCCCCUGUAGAUUUCACUUCAGCACCUUGUGAUGGAAUGAAGUCUGCUGUUUUCCUGAAGUGAGGUACGGGGAGUUAAAUGACUUAUUCAAGGUCAAUCAUAAACUAAAAGCCAGAUUUAAAGCUCCAUUUAUGUAAUUAUCUAGUAGACAAAUUGACAUUUCUCAUUCUGUUAUAAAAGAAGAGAAUAAAAACAAUAAAGAAA